UACAGAGGGGGCAAGCGUUGUUCGGAAUUACUGGGCGUAAAGGGCGCGUAGGCGGCCUUCUAAGUCGAACGUGAAAUCCCUGGGCUCAACCCAGGAACUGCGUCCGAUACUGGGAGGCUUGAAUCCGGGAGAGGGAUGUGGAAUUCCAGGUGUAGCGGUGAAAUGCGUAGAUAUCUGGAGGAACACCGGUGGCGAAGGCGGCAUCCUGGACCGGUACUGACACUCAACUACGAAAGCGUGGGGAGCAAACAGG
rnacentral:rRNA from 1 species